rnacentral:lncRNA from 1 species
CAGUUUAAGGACUCUUUUUCCAUAACAGAGGAUGCUUCUUCUGAUUGCAAUGAGAUUGCUGGCCUUAAAUCUUAUCCCAAGACAAAUUCAUGGAAGGAGGGUACAGAUUGCUGCUCAUGGGAUGGGGUCACUUGUGACCACCUAAAUGCUCAUGUUAUUGCCCUUGACUUGAGCUGCAGUUGGCUAUAUGGCAACUUCCCUUCCAAUACCACUCUCUUCCUUCUUCCUCACCUUCAAAAACUCAACCUUGCCUACAAUGAUUUUAAUCUUUCCAAAAUUCCAUCCGAGUUCGGUCGGUUUACAAGCCUAUUCUACCUCAACCUUUCCCAUACAGAGUUUGAAGGAGAAGUCCCAUCCCAAGUCUCCCACCUGUCAAAAUUGGUUUCACUUGAUCUCUCCUCUCGGAUUGAUUACUCUGGGCAAGUUACAAUUGACAAACAUGCUCUGGAGGGACUUGUUCACAACCUAACCGAGGUCAGACAUCUGUUUUUGGAUGGAAUGGACAUGUCUUCUGUUAAUGCUCAUGUCUUCAUGAAUCUAUCCUCUUCUCUAAGGUCUCUCAGUCUUGCUUAUUGUGAUUUGCAAGGAAAAUUCCUAAAAAACAUUAUUGAUUUGCCAAACCUCAAUCUCCUCAACUUGGGACGUAACCAAAACCUCAAUCUUGAUCCUUUGAAGUUCAAUCGGAGCAGCAAUCUCGAACAUUUGGAUCUGUCGUGGAUGUCCUUCUCUACAGAAUCCGUUAAUUCAGUUGAUAAUCUACAGGCCUUAAAGUACUUAGAUCUAUCAGGAAAUUCUUUCUUUCAAGGAUUGUCUGUCUCAAUCACAAAUUUAUCAUCUUUGGAGCAAUUGAUAAUUUCAGGCGCAAAUUUUUUUGGAGGAUUGCCUGACUCGAUGGGGAAUCUUGUGUCCUUGAAGUUUUUAUUUCUCUCCGAUUCCAACUUUUCAGGACCGCUUCCAAGAUCACUGGGAAACCUCUUUCAACUCAAGUGUUUAGACUUGAGAUCAAACAAAUUGAGUGGACAAAUUCCAUUGUCAAUUCUAAACCUAACGCAGUUGGAAUACUUGGAAAUAUCUGAAAAUUCUUUAGAAGGUUCCAUUCCAGAUGAGGUAACCGCUUUUCCUAAUCUAAUAUAUUUAUACUUAUCUGACAAUUUACUCAGUGGAACACUUCCGUCAUGGUUGUAUACUGCUCCCUCAUUAGACAGUAUAGGUCUCUCUCAAAAUCAAUUCAGUGGGCAUAUCAAAGAAUUCCAAUCCAAAUCACUAGAAUUGAUAGCGUUAGAGAGUAAUAAACUCCAAGGUCCUCUUCCAUCUUCAAAAUUCCAACUUCUCAAUCUUACCCACCUCUCUUUAUCCUCAAGUAAUCUCAGUGGUGUCAUAGAGUUUCGCAUGUUCUCAAACCUUCCAAAUCUAAAACUUCUUGACCUUUCAUACAACAGCCUAUCCUUAGCAUCUAAUACUACUUCUUGUGUUAACCAUAUAUUGCCUAAUCUUACAGACUUACGUUUGUCAUCUUGCAAUCUUAGUGAAUUCCCCCAAUUUUUGAAAGGGCUUAAAAGUUUGAAAAGGUUAGACCUCUCUUGCAACAAAAUUGAAGGCAAGAUUCCACAGUGGAUGCAAGAGGUGGGGAAUGGCUCUUUGACUUACUUAAACGUAUCUCACAACUAUUUGACAGAAGUUGAGCACUUUCCACGGAAGAAUAUUGAAGUUCUUGACUUAAGCUCCAAUUUGAUCAGUGGAAAUCUUCCGAUUCCAGCUUCGACCAUCAAUGUCUUUUUGAUCUCAAAUAAUAGUUUCAAUGGAGAGGUCUCUUCUUUAAUAUGCAAUGCCAGUUAUCUUAAAAUUCUUGAUUUGUCCCACAAUAACUUGAGUGGAACAAUUCCGCAAUGUUUUGGAAAUUUGAGCAACAGCCUUCAAUUCUUGAAUCUGAAGAAGAACAAGUUCUAUGGGACGAUUCCUCCAACAUUUGCAGAGGGAUGCCAAUUGACUAAUUUCAACAUAAAUGGAAAUCUGUUAGAAGGGCCUUUGACACCAUCCAUCCUUAAUUGUAAUGAACUGGAAGUGCUAGAUCUUGGUAACAACAAGAUCAAUGAUACAUUUCCUCAUUGGUUGGGCAGUCUUCCAUUUUUGCAAGUUCUUGUAUUGAAGUCAAAUCAUAUGCAUGGUUCCUUGCGUGUCAAUAGCUCCAAGUCUAGCCCUUUUUUCUCUAAAAUCCAAAUUUUUGAUCUCUCGAGUAAUUAUUUUUCUGGACCUCUACCUGUGAGAUACAUCAACAGCUUCAAGGCUAUCAUAAAUCUAGAUAAGAUUGGGAGUACAAUGUCGUACAUGGGGGUGUAUGCUCAGAGAGGUAGUGGCUUCUAUACCUAUUCCAUUGGAAUUGUUAUGAAAGGACAAGAUAUGGAAUUGGUGAAAAUUUUCACCAUGUGGAUGAUCAUUGAUCUAUCAAACAAUCAGUUUGAAGGGUGUAUUCCAGAGGUUUUUGGGAAGCUUAACUUACUGAAAGGGCUCAACCUUUCUCAUAACAACCUUCAUGGUGGUAUCCCCACCUCAAUAGGGAAUUUGACAAGUCUUGAAUGGUUGGACCUAUCUUCAAACAGGUUGUCUGGGACGAUUCCAAAUAGAUUGGCAGAUCUGGCAUUUCUUUCGUCCUUCAAUGUUUCUGAUAAUCAGCUCCAUGGUCAGAUUCCUCAAGGCAAACAGUUCAACACAUUUGGAAAUGAUUCAUAUGAAGGAAACAAGGGAUUAUGUGGAUUUCCAGUCUCGAAAGGUUGCAACAUCAUUGAGCCACCACCUCCAAAUGUGCUUGAAAAAGAUGGCUCAAAAUCAAACAUUACUUUUGGUUGGAAAGUGGUGUUGAUAGGUUAUGGAUGCGGAGUGGUGUUGGGAAUGUCCGUGGGAUAUGUUGUUUUCCAAACUGGUAAGCCGAAAUGGUUGGUGAAUUUGGUUGAAAUCCAACAUGAGAAGAAGCAAAGACGAAAGUCAAAGAAAGGCAAUCGAAGCAAUAGACGAAGAAGGAUCUAAGUACAGCAAAUGAUGUUCAAGAAUUAGUGUUGUAUUUUCAAAAUUUCUUGUUCUGUAGACCGUUUUGCCCAUGGUGAAGGGUUGCAUUGGUAUGUGUAUGUCUUUAUUAUUGUACCAAUUCCUGUCUUUCAUUGCAUUUCGUACUAUCUGUAAUGGUUUGUUUGAGUGUAACAUUUUGUAUGGUAUUGUUGUUUAUGUCUUCUUUCAUGACUUUCCAUUUAGUCUCGAUAAUCUUUGCUACUGCUCAGUAAAGGAGGAAGGAGAAUAAAAUGUCUCAAUUUAUGUCAAUUUAUGCUUGCAGAUUUGACGUGGAAUGUUGUUGAACUGAAGGUUGUUUAACUUUUGUCUUCUAAGCUAUACAUGAACAUAUGGGAUGUGACAAAUAUUAUUUUAGCUUUUGCUUAUGAAAUGUUGAAAUAGUGAGUUUAUAUUCCUUGAUUAAUAAAAAGUGAGAUGGAGAUAGUCAAACCUCAAUUUCCACAUUGAAAUUGAAUCCAAACAUUAAUUGGUGGAUCACAUGUCUUGUAUUCUGUCAAGUUAAAGGGAGUGAAUAGAGCACCAUUCUUCUUCUGCGUGGAAAAUAAGUUGGCGUUAUGCCAAUUUUCACAUUCAUACAUAUAAAGGAAGCAAGACCAAGUCAAUAUACUUUGUAAUCUCAUCAUUUCUUCUUCAUUCUUUAGGGAGUUCAAAUGAAAUACAAAUUUUUGGUAAAUCAACUCUUCUUUUUUAUGAAUAAAAAUUAUAUGGUAAAAAGGAAGUGGUGUUAAUAAUAAUAAUAAUAAUAAUAAUAACAACAACAAUACAAAACUAAUAAAGCAAUUUAGUCUAUGAUUUGCACAAUGAUUAAUGUAGCGACCUAAAAAUUUAGGCACGAGCGCUAAUUGAAGUGAUUAUUGAAAAUUUGAAAACAGAAUCUCGAUUUUAUUUGAAAAAGGAGUCGCUAUCGAUCUUUUUUUCUAGGUGUGAUCGGACACCUAAUAAAUUCUCUUUUUAGAAGAAAAAUUUAUUUUUAAAUUUUUCUAAAAAUAGGUAAUUUUUCUAAAAAAUUUAGGGGUCAAAAUGUAAUUUUUUAUUUUUUGAAUUUUUUUUGAAAUUUAAAAAAAUAUAUAUAUAUAAACACGACAAAACCCGGACAAAAUUUAGUGCUUACAAUUAAUACCUAAUUUGAUCCUUGAAUUAUAGUUCAAAAAGUAUUUUUAUAUUUUUAAAUUUUCAUAAAAAUAAUUGUAUCAAAAUUUAAAAAUCUUAAAAAUAAAUACAAAUUUUAUAUAAAAAAUCAAUUGGCCCAAGAAAAAAAAUUUACCAACUAAAUUUUCCAUAUCCAAACUCAUAAAUAAUUCUUCUUUGAACUUUCACAAAAAAAUAUUAAAUACCCUUUCACUUUAUCAUUAUAAAUAUAAUAUACAUUUUUUUCCUUCUUUUUCAUGUAGAUCAGCUUCAACUCUACUAUUCUUAGAUCAUUAUAAAUAUAAUAUAUGUUUUAUUUACAGCUGAAAGUAAAACCUUGAGUUGAAAUUUGGCAGAAAAAAUUGUGGGUUUGGAGAAGAAGAAGAGCACUUUGUAUUUAAAUUUAAAAAAUCAAAAAUUUCAAAACUGAAAGUUACUCAAAACCCUAAACAAUCUAAUAAUUGGAGUUAUAGAAAAGAAAUAUGAGUUUAGAAAUAAAUAAAACAAAAUAAAUUUGCAAAACAAUUUCUAGGCAAAACAACAUGAAGUUGUUGAUGUGAUUGAAGGUGUUCUUCAACGGUGGAAAACAAAUAGAAUUUAAUUUGAAAAUUUUAAGAUUUUUUAAAUAAUAAAAAAUUGCAUUAGUUUAAAAACUUUAGUUUUAAUUUUAAGAUAUUUUUAGAUUUAUACAUAUUUAAUUAUUUUUAGAUUUUUUAGAUUUAAAUGAAGUUACAAUUAUUUUUGAAAACGGUACCUCUACAUUUUUGAAGGUACAAGGAAAUAAAAUAUGGAUUUGGUAUCGAUACUUCGGCCCGAGUAUCAAUGCUCGAGGUAAGUUUAUUGAUACCUUGCGAAAGGUACCAAUAAUUUUUUUAUAUUUUGAUAUUUGGUAAGAAACAUAAUGUUAGUUUGGUAUCGAUUUUCCAUGAGAUAUCAAUACCACUUAAAGAAAAUAUCGAUAGCCCUAGGACAGUAUCAAUACCUAUGUAACAGUUUUAGAAAUUUUGCAACUGGGCCCAUUUGUAGGUUUGAUUGAUGUUUUUAAUACCCUUAGUGUAUGUAUGGCAUGUUUUAAUGAUAAGAAGUGGUUGAACGACUACAACUCAUACGUAGGAUUGAAUAAAGAUGAUGAUUGGUUACUUGUGAAAUUGUUUGCUAAGUAAAUGAUGCAUGAUGGUGGUGUAACAUCCUAAUAUUUCGGCUUGGCGACUGAGCCGAGUAUAGGGUGUUACAAUGUGUUCCACAAGUUUCAUCAGCAAUCCUCAAUGCAUCUAAUUAAUUGGGAAAAUUGAGAAAAUAGAAAUGGUCAAGAAGAUGUAACAUGAUGAGUACCUCUUUGCACCGUCAAGAAUUUUAGUAAGUCUCCAAAUUCAUUCAUUAACCCUCCUUCCUGUUAAAUAUUUAUCAUUAAUUUUAUUAAAUUAAAACAUAAAUUUUUAUAAAUCUAAAGUGUAAUUUAUGAGCCGGGUUAUUCAAUCCAAAAAAAAAAAAUCAGCCAAGACUCUUUGGACAAAUUGCUUGAGUAAAACCAGAAAAUGAAUAACAAUUUUGAUGGAUUUUGAUUACAAAUGAAUUGAGGCAUAAUGCCAUUACAUAUACCAUGCAUUCAGCUGGUCAAAAUGAGACAGACAUCACCUAAUCAUCAACCUAACUCCACUAAGUAGCCUUGAAACUUAUGAAAACAUAACUUGCACACAUAGGUACGCUGAUUUAUCAAUCUAUCAGCACCUAAUUACAUCAAACAUGUUACCAACUUAGUUCAAAUCAAACUAAGCAAGAAAACAUUAACUUAAAGUAACAAAAAAUGAACAGCAGCAUGAACUUCAGCUGCAACUGCAUGGCUGGAGCAGCUCUGCUUCUUGUCUGCAUGCCGGCCAACUUCAACAAGAUCUGAGUAAGGCUAAUUUGUCCAGAAGUUGCAUCAUGCAAAACUAUUUAAUGGCUUUUAGGUAGCUUUGUCAACGGCAAAAAAAAUGAGAAAAUUAGUCAAAUUUCUUCCAUUUUUAUCUUUAAAAAUUUGGUUUUGUGCGUCAACAUGAAGUACAUGUGGCACGUACAUGCAAACUGUCUGAUUAUUUAGACAUCUACACUAGUUUUUAAAGGUAAAAAUAGAAGAAAAUUUUAAUAAACAAGACCAAUUAACUCUUUUAUCUAGCAUACAAGAAUUAUUCUAUACAUCUUUCAAUAAAUGGGGAAAAUUACAUCCACACAUUCUCCACAUUUCAGACCUGUAAUUCUAGCCAAUUGGUCACAAGCAUACAUGUCCCAUUUCAAUAUUCAAAGGUCUGCUUUGAUUAUUUUAUUUUGUGUUCUGUUGUCGCCCCAAAAUAGUUCCACUUGGCACAUCUCCAUACAUUUCAAACAUACCAAAAAUCUGCUGGCAAGCAAUACAAGACAAGUUCCAGCCACUUCAACAUUUGGCUCCUGUUCAUUGCCAAAAGAAAAAAAUAAACAUUUUUUAUAUUUAAUUGAAGGUCAAAAACACAUAAAAAGACAACCGGACAGCUAGUAUUUCAUCCAAUCUUCACAACAUGUCUGUGUGCGUGCAGAUCCUUCACUUCCCAGAAGCCUUUAGCGCGUAUUCUAUUAUAAAAUCACAGAUUACUAUUUAAAUGAUAAAUAAAUUAUUUAAAGUAUGAAAAUAUACAUGUUUUUUUUUAUUGGCUUAAGGGCGUAAAAAAUCCUUAAAUUUUUUUUUUAAAAAAGACAAUUAAAUUUCUCCUUUUUUUACACUCAAUUGAGCACUUAAAGUUUUAAAAUGCAUCAAAAAUACUCUCAAACUUCUUCCGAAAAAACAAUUAAAUCCUUAUUUUCUUUCCCACUCAAUUGGGUGCUUGAACUUUUUCAUAAUAUUUUUUUGGGCGAUUUAAUGAACCAUACAAGUUUCAAGGCUAAAAGAGGCAAAAGAAAAAGAAAAAGAAAAAGAAGCUAAAAUGACUUUUUGUUUGUAAAGUCAAAAAAUACCAAAUAAAUCAUUAUGUCUUUUUAGUUUUAAUUUUUUACUUGAUUAAAAGAGAAAUAAUUAACGAAUGAAAAAUAGCUAUUCCUAAAUAAAUUUAUCAGAAUUUAUAACAAAUGAGAUUUUAGAUUUGAAGUAUGAGGUUAUAUAUAUUAUAUAAGUAUACCUGUUUUUAUGGAAUCGGUGGAUUAUAUUUUCGACAGUCUUCUUCCCCAAGCGUAGUGAAUAGAGCACAAUUUUGUUCUUUUGGAUGGAAAAGAAUUUCUACAUUAAUUAGAUUUGGUUGACAGGCAAAUGAAUAGAUACACACAUUUUUUACGUGUUAUUAAGGAAGAAGACUAAGUCAAUCUACUUUGUAAUCUCAUCAAUCUUAAUUUUUUUAGUUGUUUAGGGAGUUCAAAUGAAAUACAAGAUUUUGCUAUAAAAAAAAAAAGCAUCCAAUUUUAAGAAUGAAAAAUAUACGGUAAAAAGAAGACUAAUGGUUGUUGAUGAUUGUGAAAAAUACAAAAAUUAUUUGUUGCCUAUAAAUACCAUUCCUAUCCUUCAUCUUCCUCUACAAACAUAACAUGGCCUCCUAUCUCUUUCUCUGCCUAUUCCUCUUCUUUCCCCAUCUUUAUGCUUCUUUUUCUUCUUCAGGAUCUCACUCCUGCUCUUCGCUAAUCCAGUUCAAGAAUUCUUUUUCCAUCACUCAGACAGAUGUUGCUUCUUCUUAUUGCGAUGAUCAAUCUUAUCCCAAGACAGAUUCAUGGAAGGAGGGUACAGAUUGCUGCUCAUGGGAUGGGGUCACUUGUGACCACCUAAAUGCUCGUGUUAUUGUCCUUGACUUGAGUUGCAGUUGGCUAUAUGGCAACUUCCCUUCCAAUACCACUCUCUUCCUUCUUCCUCACCUUCAAAAACUCAACCUUGCCUACAAUUAUUUUAAUCUUUCCAAAAUUCCAUCCGAGUUCGGUCGGUUUAUAAGCCUAUUCUACCUCAACCUUUCCAAUACAGGGUUUGCAGGAGAAGUCCCAUCCCAAGUCUCCCACCUGUCAAAAUUGGUUUCACUUGAUCUCUCCUGUCGGGCUGAUGCACAAACAAUUGACAAACAUGCUCUGGAGGGACUUGUUCACAACCUAACCGAGGUCAGACAUCUGUUUUUGGAUGGAAUCAACAUGUCUUCUGUUAAUGCUCAUGUCUUCAUGAAUCUAUCCUCUUCUCUAAGGUCUCUCAGUCUUGCUUUUUGUGAUUUGCAAGGAAAAUUCCCAAAAAACAUUUUUGAUUUGCCAAACCUCAAUCUCCUCAACUUGGGAGGCAACCAAAACCUCAAUCUUGAUCCUUUGAAGUUCAAUCGGAGCAGCAAUCUUGAACAUUUGGAUCUGUCGUGGAUGUCCUCCUCUACAGAAAUUGAUUCAGUUGAUAAUCUACAGGCCUUAAAGUACUUAGAUCUAUCAGGAAAUUCUUUCUUUCAAGGAUUGUCUGUCUCAAUCACAAAUUUAUCAUCUUUGGAGUACUUGAUUCUUAGAGGCGCAAAUGUUUUUGGAGGAUUGCCUGACUUGACGGGGAAUCUUGUGUCCUUGAAGUUUUUAGAUCUCUCCCAGUCCAACUUAUCAGGACCGGUUCCAAGAUCACUGGGAACCUCUUGCAACUCACUCAUUUAGACUUGUCGCAGAACCAAUUGAGUGGACAAAUUCCAAGAUUAUUGGGGAACCUCUUUCAACUCACUCAUUUAGACUUGUCGUGGAACCAAUUGAGUGGACAAAUUCCAAGAUCAUUGGGGAACCUCUUGCAACUCACUCAUUUAGAUUUGUCGAUGAACCAAUUGAGUGGACAAAUUCCAAGAUCAUUGGGGAUCAUUGGGGAACAUCUUGCAACUCACUCAUUUACUUGUCGGUGAACCAAUUGAGUGGACAAAUUCCAAGAUCAUUGGGGAACCUCUUGCAACUCACUCAUUUAGACUUGUCGGUGAACCAAUUGAGUGGACAAAUUCCAAGAUCAUUGGGGAACCUCUUGCAACUCACUCAUUUAGACUUAUUGGUGAACCAAUUGAGCGGACAAAUUCCAAGAUCAUUGGGGAACCUCUUGCAACUCACUCAUUUACAGUUGCCGGUGAACCAAUUGAGUGGAAAAAUUCCAAGAUCAUUGGGGAACCUCUUGCAUCUCACUCAUUUACACUUGCCGAUGAACCAAUUGAGUGGACAAAUUCCAUUGUCAAUUCUAAACCUAACGCAGCUGGAAUACUUUGUAAUAUCUAAAAAUUCUUUAGAAGGUUCCAUUCCAGAUGAGGUAACCGCUUUUCCUAAUCUAAUAUAUUUACACUUAAAUGACAAUUUACUCAAUGGAACAUUUCCGUCAUGGUUGUUUACUGCUCCCUCCUUAAAGGAAAUAUAUCUCUCUCAAAAUCAAUUCAGUGGGCAUAUCAAAGAAUUCCAAUCCAAAUCACUAGAAUUGAUAGCGUUACAGAAUAAUAAACUCCAUGGUUCUCUUCCAUCUUCAAUAUUCCAACUUCUCAAUCUUACCGACCUCGUUUUAUCCUCAAAUAAUCUUAGUGGUGUCAUAGAGUUUCGCAUGUUCUCAAACCUUCCAAAUCUAAAACAUCUCGACCUUUCAUAUAACAGCCUAUCCUUAACAUCUAAUACUACUUCUACUGUUAAUCAUAUAUUGCCUAAUCUUACAGGCUUACUUUUGUCAUCUUGCAAUCUUGGUGAAUUCCCCCAAUUUUUAAAAGGGCUUAAAAGUUUGGAAAGCUUAGACCUCUCUUGCAACAAAAUUGAAGGCAAGAUUCCACAGUGGAUGCAAGAGGUGGGGAAUGUCUCUUUGACUUACUUAAACGUAUCUCACAACUCUUUGACGAAGUUGAGCACUUUCCAUGGAAGAAUAUUGAAUUUCUUGACUUAAGCUCCAAUUUGAUCAGUGGAAAUCUUCCGAUUCCAGCUUCGACCAUCAAUGUCUUUUUGAUCUCAAAUAAUAGUUUCAAUGGAGAGGUCUCUUCUUUAAUAUGCAAUGCCAGUUCUCUUCGAAUUCUUGAUUUGUCCCACAAUAACUUGAGUGGAACAAUUCCGCAAUGUUUUGGAAAUUUGAGCAACAGCCUUGAAUUCUUGAAUCUGAAGAAGAACAUGUUUUAUGGGACGAUUCCUCCAACAUUUGCAAAGGGAUGCCAAUGGAGUAAUUUCAACUUAAAUGGAAAUUUGUUAGAAGGGCCUUUGACACCAUCCAUCCUUAAUUGUAAUGGUCUGGAAGUGCUAGAUCUUGGUAACAACAAGAUCAAUGAUACAUUUCCUCAUUGGUUGGGAAAUCUUCCAUAUUUGCAAGUUCUUGUAUUGAAGUUAAAUCAUAUGCAUGAUUCCUUGCGUGUCAAUAGCUCCAAGUCUAGCCCUUUUUUCUCUAAAAUCCAAAUUUUUGACCUCUCAAGUAAUUAUUUUACUGGACCCCUACCAGUGAGAUACAUCAACAGCUUCAAGGCUAUCAUAAAUCUAGAGAAGAUUGGGAGUACAUUGUUGUACAUGGGGGUGUAUGAUCGGAUUGCUAGUGGCUUCUAUACCUAUUCCAUUGGAAUUGUUAUGAAAGGACAAGAUAUGGAAUUGGUGAAAAUUUUCACCAUGUGGAUGAUCAUUGAUCUAUCAAACAAUCAGUUUGAAGGGGGUAUUCCAAAGGUUAUUGGGAAGCUUAACUUACUGAAAGGGCUCAACCUUUCUCAUAAUAACCUUAAUGGUGGUAUCCCCACCUCAACAGGGAAUUUGACAAGUCUUGAAUGGUUAUGUAGUUUUAGAUGUUAAGGAUAGGCUGUUAUAUGAAAGGUCGCGAUGUUUUAGAUUUGGAAGGUUUGAGAACAUGCGAAGCUCUAUGACACCACUAAGAUUAUUUGAGGAUAAGCUGAGGGAGGUAAGAUUGAGAAGUUGGAAUAUUGAAGAUGGAAGAGGACCUUCGAGUUUAUUAUUUUCUAGAUCUAAAUAUUCUAGUGAUUUGGUUUGGAAUUCUUUGAUAUGACGGAAGUGUUCCAUUGAGUAAAUUGUCAAAUAACACUAAAUAUAUUAGAUUCGGAACAGCGGUUACCUCAUCUGGAAUAGAACCUUCUAAAGAAUUUUCAGAUAUUUCCAAGUAUUCCAACUGCGUUAGGUUUAGAAUUGACAAUGGAAUUUGUCCACUCAAUUUGUUUGAUCCCAAGUCUAAAUGAGUGAGUUGCAAGAGGUUUCCAAGUGAUCUUGGACCGGUCCUGAUAAGUUGGAAUCGGAGAGAACUAAAAACUUCAAGGACACAAGAUUCCCCAUCGAGUCAGGCAAUCCUCCAAAAAAAUUUGCGCCUCUAAUAAUCAAGUACUCCAAAGAUGAUAAAUUUGUGAUUGAGGCAGACAAUCCUUGAAAGAAAGAAUUUCCUGAUAGGUCUAGGUACUUUAAGGCCUGUAGAUUAUCAACCGAAUCAAUGAAUUCUGUAGAGAAGGACAUCCACGACAGAUCCAAAUGUUCGAGAUUGCUGCUCCGAUUGAACUUCAAAGUAUCAAGGUUGAGGUUUUGGUUACGUCCCAAGUUGAGGAGAUUGAGGUUUGGCAAAUCAAAAAUGUUUUUUGGGAAUUUUCCUUGCAAAUCACAACCAGCAAGACUGAGAGACCUUAGAGAAGAGGAUAGAUUCAUGAACACAUGAGCAUUAACAGAAGACAUGUUGAUUCCAUCCAAAAACAGGUGUCUGACCUCGGUUAGGUUGUGAACAAGUCCCUCCAGAGCAUAUUUGUCAAUUGUUUGUUCACCAAACACAGAGGAGGAGAGAUCAAGUGAAACCAAUUUUGACAGGUGGGAGACUUGGGAUGGGACUUCUCCUGCAAACCAUGUAUAAGAAAGCUUGUAAACCGACCGAACUCGGACCUAUCUUCAAACAUAUUAAAUACCCAUUCACUUCAAUUCUACUAUUCUUAAAUCAUUAAAGUUUUGUGGAAAAUAUGCUUCUUGGAUAAAAAUUAUUCAACACACAUGCCUUGAAUUUUAUGCAAUAAAAUAAAUCAAUAUAGGCCACACAUGCUUUGAAUUUUUAAGUAGUCCACAAUUUUGUUCGUUUGUGUGCAAGAUUCUACAUUGCUUGACAGCCAUACAUACUAAGUAAAUAGACACCCACAUUGUUUACGUAUUAUGAGGAAGAAGAUUAAGUCAAUCUACUUUGUAAUCUCAUCAAUCUUAAUUUUCUCAGUUGUUUAGGGAGUUCAAAUGAAAUACAAAAUUUUGGAAAAAAAAUGUAUCCAAUUUUGUGAAUGAAAAAUAUAUGGUAAAAAGGAUUUGGUAUGGAUACUUCGGCCCGGGUAUCAAUACUCAGAGUAAGUUAAAGCAUCAGUGGAUGAAGAAGGAUCUGGUUGGUGCAAAUGAAGUUAAAGCAUUUGUGCUGUGUCUUCAUAAUUUCUUGUUUAGUAGUCUGUCAGAAAGUUUUUCCUAUGGUGAAAAGUUGCAUUGGUAUGUGUCUGUUUUUAUGAUUGUACCAAUUCCUCUGUAUUUCAUUGCAUUUCGUACUAUUUGUAAGGGUUUAGUUCGAGUGUAACAUCUUGUAUGGUGCAACUAUGUGUGUCUUCUUUCUUGAAUUUCAAUUUUUAGUAAACAUUGUACUGCUCACCAUAAAAAAGGAUACAUGUAGAAUUACAAAAGAUUCAAUUAUUCAAGUUUGAGUUGCAUUUAUAAAGACGUGGCGAUGAGAAUUCAUGAACGUAAGGUAUGGUUUGAGCCCUUUUGCCAUAUGCAUUUAUGUUGCAGAUGUUCAAAUAUUAAUUUAAGAGUAAUAUUUACAAUAGCAUUGCAGAGUAACAUAUUUAAGAUUGGAUUACACAGUCAAAAGAUUGCAGCAACGAUGAGAUUAAUACAAUUACAGGAAUUGGUAUCCUACAUGGCUUUUAGGCACGUAGCUUCAUUGACGAUGAGAUAAUUUUAGGAGGAAGCAACAGCAAGUGUGAAGUCAAUAGACAAUUGAUAGUCUUUAUUCUUUUGUGUGGAAAAUUAUUUGGGACCAAACUUAACGUGUUAUAAGGAAGAAGACUUUGUAAUCUCAUGAAUGUUAAUUAUUUUACUUCUUUGGUAAAAAAAAAGGAAUUAAUUUUAUGAAUGAAAAAUAUAUGGUAAAAAGGAAAUAGUUGUUGAUCACUAACAACAUGAUGAUUGUGGAAAUACAAAAAUUCCCAUAUAUGUGUUGAAUUCUGCAUAAUGUAAAUGUCCCGCAUUGCAUGUGAAUUCUGCAAUAGACCAAAUUUUACGUGUUAUAGUCCUUUAAACUGAGUUAAUGAAAAGUAAUCAUUCUUAUCAAAAUUAGUUAUACUCUUAAUUUAUAAUAAAAGAAAGAGUAAUUUGAGUUUAACUCAAAGGUUAAUAUGUCAUCAAUGGGCGAUGGCAUGGCGCUACCAUGUCAGCGAUUAUUUUCUUCUUUGAGUUAAGGUGAUUUCACCAAUUUUAGUUUACUUUUUAACUUCAAUUUAGGUUUAUGCUUAUUAGCUUCGAAGAUUCUAUGUGGGUGCCACAAUCAAAGGGUGAGUAAAAAGGGUUAAAAAUAAUUUUUUUUAAAAUAUUUUUAUUUUUAUUAAAAAUUUAGAAUUAGAAUUAGACAAAUUUUGUAAAUGUUAAGGGCUAACUUUAUUGAAUUUUUUUUUUCAGAAUUCGAACUAAAAUGACAAAUUUUGUAAAAAGCGCUAAAUUUGUUGAAUUUUUUAUAUUUAAGAUCAAAUUGAUAGAAUGUGUAAAUAUUAGAGGUUAAAUUCGUUAUUAGAUAAAAAAAAUCCACAUCAGCUUUCCGUCACUCAUCUAACGACAACUAAAGGGAGAGUGAUUAAAAUAUUUAAUUUCAAAAAGUUUAGCAACUAAUUGGAAAAUUUAAUAGUUGGGUGACUAUUUUUAUAGUUUACAACUUUUUUGGUCACAUGACUAUUAAGUGACACUUUUUAGUUGGUAUAAUAAUAAUUUUUAUCCUCAAUUUUUAUACUUUCUGUCAAUUUAACUCUAAUUAUAUAAAAUGAUUACAAAAGUGAAAUUCUUUUUAAAUUUUACAAAAUUCUAAAAAUUAAAAAUUAAAUGAAAGUAGAUAAAAAUUUCAAAUAUAAAUAAAGUGAGAGAAAAUGAGGGAAAUAUUAUUUUUAAACCCUCCAAAUUUUCUUUGUAUUAUUUGUAAAGAAAUAUCUAAUAUCCAUUCUUUUAGAAAACAUAGAAAAAAGUAAAAAAAAAAAAGAUUAAGUAAAAUUAUCUGUAUAUAAUCUGCUUUUAUAAUUUGGGUUUUUAAAAAUAAAUUUAAAUGAAUUGAAAAUUCGAAUUGAGUUUGAAAAAGAAAAUUUUGUGGUAUAUUUUAUAUUUUUGCUAGAAAAAUGGCAUCAAAGUUGAUUUUGUAAGCUUUUGUAAUAUAGUUACGGAUGUUCUUCAAGGGCAUGAAACUCAACUUGAAAAUUUUACUAAUUUGGUUGCAAAAAACAUUGAGGAAGCGUAUAAUGAUCUAACCUUUUUUUUGUUUUGUUCUGUUUUUAAUUUGUUAUGGGAUUCUAUUGAAUGAUAAUUUUUUUUAUUUCCCAUACAUAUUAGUUCUUCAACAACAACAUAUUCGAGAUUUUAUUUUUCUAGAAUUUUUAUAUAGAAGUUUAUAUUUUUUAAAAAUAAUUUUGAGUUUUUUUUAUAAUUUUUAUACAGAAGUUUAUAUUUUUUAAAUUGGCAAAAAAAAUUAUAAAAACAAAAUACUAGAAUUGUUAUUAUAGCAACUACAAAGUGUCAUUUAACAAUAGGGUGACCAAAUUGUAACUUUUUUCGUUAAGUGACCAAAACGAAGAUUUACCCAUAGUUCAGUGGCUAAUUAUGUAGUUUACCUUUUCAUAAUUAAAAAAUAGUUGUUAAGUUUUUCUUGUAUUAGAUAACAUUUUAGAUGGUAAAAACCCUCUUUAGUCCCUCUCAAUUUUGAUAUUAAGUAAAUUGGUCCAUUUUAAAAAAAAUUAAAGCAAUUUAAUCUUUGUUAAUUUCGAAAGUGAGCAACUAAGAACAAUUAAUCACAAUGUCAAUAUUUUCCAUCAAUUGUACAUAUUUUUAUUGGUAUAAUAACAAGUUUAUAAACUUGUUUACAUAUUCUGUCAAUUUGAUCUUGAUUUAACAAAUUUAUCCCGCAACAAUUACAUAUUCUAUUAACAUUUACAUAUAAUAUAUAAACAUCGAGAGCUUAUUUUGUUAUUAUAUCAAUAAAAAAUAUAUACAAUUUACAGAAAGUAUUAACACAAUGAUUAAUUGUUCUUAGUUGCUCCCAUUCAAAAUUGAUAAUGAUUAAAUUGCUCUAAUUUUCUGAGAGGAAUCAAUUUGUUCAAUAUAGAAAUUGAGAGGGACGAGAAAUGUGUUUUUAUCCAUUUUAGAUACCAACAAGUGUUUGGCGUAGUGGCAAAUCAUAUUACAUUCUCAAGGAGAUAAUGCGUAUUCAGACGUUGGAGAUAAUAAUGUUGUGUGCGGUAUCCACCGAUCUUGAACACGAAUUGUAAAACAUAUAUAAAGAAUAAAAAAAUAACAUCUUAAUUUAAAUAAUUAAUAAAUUUUAAUUUGAAAAAAUUAUUUUGAGAAACAUAAGUUUUAGUAAGUAGUAAAACUGAAUUAAUUUGAAUUUAAACUUAACGCAACUCGAUUUGAUUAUAAAGAAGUGAUAAUUUGAAUCCAAAAUGACAUGAUCUUAAAAUGAUUUGAAUUAAUUGUCAAACCCGAACGACAAAACUCGAAAUGAUGCAAUCCAAAAACGCUGGUUAAAAUGAUGCAAUCCAAUCGUAGUAAGUUUAACCUGCUGCUUUAGAUUUUGCAUUUUGGUUAAUUGGCUUGUGUUAUGUGUUUCUCUGGCAUCAGCCGAUAUGUGGAUUUGCCUCUCGUGAUGCACUACCAUUCAAGAAGCAUAAUGAUUUGUUCUACAUUGAUGACAAAGAUGUGGAGUUUAAAGAAGUAAGAACUGAUCAACAAUAUUCGAGGUUCUGUUGUAUGUUGCCUUAUUAAAUAAGUCUUCACUUAAAUUCCUAUGUUGCCUUAUGUAUGUAGGUUCUUGAGUCACCUUUACCAAAAGCACCACUUGAUACAUCUGUUACAUCCCACUGGCUUGCGAUUGAAGGCAUUCAACCAGCAAUUCCCGAAAAUGCUUCAAUUGAAGGUACCGUCUUAGCUAACCUAAAUAUUUUCUCGAAGCUAUUUGUGUUGAAUACUCUCAUGGUUCAUGUUCUUUUCUGGUUUUAUCACUUUAAUCUAAUACGACUUAUCUUCAUUUCUACAUGGAAUUGGUAGUUUGCUUUCCAUGCAGCACCUUCUGAUGGUAAAAAGGCUGAAUACAAAGAAGAUGGGCUUUCCGUUGAUGUCAAAUUACCUGUUAAGCAUGUAUUAUCUAGAGAGCUUCAAGUAUGUUGUACAUCUUCAGCAACAUUUUUAUGUUAAAAUACAUUUUGCACAGAAUGUUAUUAAAAGACUAAUUUGGUUGUCAUGCAGCUUUACUUUGACAAGAUCGUGGACAUUACCAUGAAUAAAUCAGUCUCAGUUCUCUUUAAACAAGCAUUACUGAGUUUGGCAACAGACUCGGGAUUACAUCCUUUAGUUCCUUAUUUUACAUAUUUCAUUGCGGAUGAGGUUGUCUUAAAGAUCUUUGAUACCUCAUUAUAUAUGUGUGUUGCAAAGAACUUUUGGUUGGUUAUCUCAAGCUUACAUUUUUGCCACAUUUAUCUCAGGUUGCACGGAAUUUGAAUAAUUUCCCUCUCAUGUUUGCUUUGAAGCGUAUUUGCAGCUUCUUGAACCUGAAAUAAAAAGACACGAGGCCUGGUGUGUUUAUGGGGCCCUGCUGGUAAGUUUAACAUCAAAUUUGGUACCAGUUUAUGAGCAUCGUUUCAUUUAUUUGCUGUAGAACUAACAACACUGCAUAAAAUUUCCACUAACAGCGUGCAGCUGGACUGUGCAUGUAUGAUCGGCUUAAAAUGUUCCCCAGUUUGCUAGCACCCCCAACUCGUCCCAUCUGGAAAAGCAACAACAAAGUUGCGACAAGUAUGAUUUCUUCGAACCAUCAUAUUUACACUUAAUCCACAAGUCUCUUCUCCCCCUUUACGAUAUUCCUUUUUCUGAUCAAUCAAGAUAAACGAAAAGCAAGCACGGACACCUUGAUGCAGCAGCAACCACCUGCCAAGAAAAUAGCAACUGAGAGUGCAAUAGGUAUGAUGCCGAUAAAUUCCACGCAAACUGAUUUACAAGGGGCAGUUAGCGGCUUUUCUACCACCGUAGGAGGUUCCAAUAUCGGUGUAUCAUCAAUGUCACGGCCGUUAUCAAACGAAAACAUGCUAGGAAGGGAGGUUGGGGGUCGAGUUUCAAAGACAUCAACCGUUCUAGCUCAGGCUUGGAAGGAAGACACAGACCCGGGGAACUUGUUAGCAUCAUUAUUUGAACUUUUUGGUGAAAGUAUGUUAUCAUUUACUCCCAAACCUGAGCUUUCAUUCUUCCUUUGAUUAAAUUUCACCUCCAAAAGCUAUGGUUUUUGAAGGAAUUUGUGUAAAUUAUCCCCAUAUUCUUUUCAUUCUUACUGUGUUUAUCUUUGUAAGUCUUCCUUUUUUCCUUGCUCAUAAAUGUAUUGUAGUUAUCAAAAAAUAUAUUCUACUUUGGAUUUUAUUUAUAUUAAAAUUUAGGUUAAAUUCUGCUAUUAGUCUCUGUACUUUACGAAAAUGAUGGAUUUAGUCCUUAUACCUUAAUUUGAUCAAUUUUAGUCAUUGUAUUUUUUGAAUUGGUCAAUUUUAAACCAUUUACUUUUUGAAUUUUGAAAUUUUAGUCUUGAUUCAAAUAAUAUUAAUAAUAAUUAAUACCUAAACAAUGCUCCUUUUCCCAAGGUACCUAAUUUUUAUUUUGGCCAUAAGUAUUACUAAAACUAUUCUUCCAUUACUCAUUUUACACCAAAAUGUUAUAUCGGCUAAAAAGAUUCCAACAAAUAAUAGAUUGUAUGUCAUAUAAGCUUUUAAAAAUAAUUAUUAAUUAAUUAAUUUUUUUAUAUUUUUCUUUCUUAUUCCUUUAUAAUGUUUGACAAUGCCGAUAAUGUUUGAAAUUGGCCCACUUGAGGUCGAAACGUUGGUGAUUAAUUUUGGUUUUGAAUUUCACCACCUACUUCUCUGACCUGAGGGAAACUAGUGUUUUCAAAAACAGAUUGAUUCAACUAGUUGGAUAGGAAAUCGGUCCGGAAAUAGGGGUUGAAUCGAUUGACUUGCGAACAAAAACAAAUCGGUUGAACUAGUUCUCUCCAUUUAUAUUUAUAUAAAUAAUAAUAGUUUUUUUUUACUACAUGUCAAUUUUUAAUUGGUUAAUUUUUUUUUUCAUAUAAACUGAACGGUUUGACUAAUGACGGAGGUACCAAAUUUUAGUCUAGGUACCAAUUUAUGGGUUAAGCCUAUUUCUAAAAUAGACUUUUGACUAAUGGCAGUAGUAACUUGGGAAAAAAAAGUAGUUUAUGUACCACUUGUGACAAAAAAUAAGUUUAGGUACCAACAUGGGAAAAUGAGUAUAAUUUAGAUACCGAUUUAUGAGUUAAGCCUAAUAUAUUUGUCGCAUCAUUUUUUGAAAAUAACAAAACUUAAUAAAUUUAACGGUUAUUGUUUGGUGAUGACUAAAAUUUUAAAAUUUGAAAAGUAGAUGAACUAAAAAUGACCAAAUUAAAGUAUAAAGAUUAAGUCCACAACUUUUGCAAAGUAUAAGGACUAAUAGCAGAAAUUAACCUAAAUUUCAUAUGGGUCAAUUACAAAAAUAAUCACUAAACUAUUCCUUUAGUUCUAUUCUAGUCACUCAACUAUAGAGGUGCUCAUGAGCCUGGCCAGGUCAGGCCUAAGCAUGAUAUUAAAGUACUUUAUGCUUGCUCAAGCUCGGCUCGGCCCAAAAUAUGAGCUUAAAAUUUUGCCUAAACUCAUCCAUAUUUGCAAAAGACUAACCCAAGCUCAUUUUAGGCAUGCCCAUAUAAUUUUUAGUUUUUUUUUUAAAUAUUUAUAUUAUAUUAUUUUAAUAUUUAAUAAUUUAAAUAUUUUUUAUUUAUUGAAAAUUUUUAUAUAGUCAUCUUAACAUUAUUUUAAUGUUUACAUUAUAGUAUUAUUAUAUAUUUAAUAUAAGUUUAUUUUUUUAAUCUGUUCUAAAUUAUAAAAUAUAAAGUAUUAUACACUUAAAAAUGGGCCGGGCUGGGCUCGAGCUUUGAAUGUUCAAGCCUAAACCCAGCUCAUAUUUUAAACGGGCCUAAUUUAUCACCCUUUGAUUUAUCAAAAUUUAUAACAAAUGAGAUUUUAGAUUUGAAUUAUGAGGCUAUAUAUAUAUAUAAGUAUACACAUUUUUAUGAAAUACAAAAUUUUGCUAAAACAAAAAGCAUAUAAAAGUAUACACGUUUUUAUGAAAUAAAAGAAAAAGCAUCCAAUUUUGAGAAUGAAAAAUAUAUGGUAAAAGCAUCCAUAACUUUUCAAUGUUAAAGAAAAAAAAGACUUAACACCAAUGUUGUGGUAUUAUUUGUUGCCUAUAAAUACCAUUCCUAUCCUUCAUCUUCCUCUACCAACAUAACAUGGCCCCCUGUCUCUUUCUCUGCCUAUUCCUCUUCUUUCCCCAUCUUUAUGCUUCUUUUUCUUCUUCAGGAUCUCACUCCUGCUCUUUACUAAUCCAGUUCAAGAACUCUUUUUCCAUAACAGAGGCUGCUUAUUCGUCUUGCGGCCCUAAAUCUUAUCCCAAGACAAAUUCAUGGAAGGAGGGUACAGAUUGCUGCUCAUGGGAUGGGGUCACUUGUGACCACCUAAAUGCUCAUGUUAUUGCCCUUGACUUGAGCUGCAGUUGCCUAUAUGGCACCUUCCCUUCCAAUACCACUCUCUUCCUUCUUCCUCACCUUCAAAAACUCAACCUUGCCGGCAAUGAUUUUAAUCUUUCCAAAAUUCCAUCCGA